GACGAACGCUGGUUGCGUGCUUAACACAUGCAAGUCGAACGGAAAGGCCCUGCUUUUGUGGGGUGCUCGAGUGGCGAACGGGUGAGUAACACGUGAGUAACCUGCCCUUGACUUUGGGAUAACUUCAGGAAACUGGGGCUAAUACCGGAUAGGAGCUCCUGCUGCAUGGUGGGGGUUGGAAAGUUUCGGCGGUUGGGGAUGGACUCGCGGCUUAUCAGCUUGUUGGUGGGGUAGUGGCUUACCAAGGCUUUGACGGGUAGCCGGCCUGAGAGGGUGACCGGCCACAUUGGGACUGAGAUACGGCCCAGACUCCUACGGGAGGCAGCAGUGGGGAAUAUUGCACAAUGGGCGGAAGCCUGAUGCAGCAACGCCGCGUGCGGGAUGACGGCCUUCGGGUUGUAAACCGCUUUCGCCUGUGACGAAGCGUGAGUGACGGUAAUGGGUAAAGAAGCACCGGCUAACUACGUGCCAGCAGCCGCGGUGAUACGUAGGGUGCGAGCGUUGUCCGGAUUUAUUGNGCGUAAAGGGCUCGUAGGUGGUUGAUCGCGUCGGAAGUGUAAUCUUGGGGCUUAACCCUGAGCGUGCUUUCGAUACGGGUUGACUUGAGGAAGGUAGGGGAGAAUGGAAUUCCUGGUGGAGCGGUGGAAUGCGCAGAUAUCAGGAGGAACACCAGUGGCGAAGGCGGUUCUCUGGGCCUUUCCUGACGCUGAGGAGCGAAAGCGUGGGGAGCGAACAGGCUUAGAUACCCUGGUAGUCCACGCUGUAAACGGUGGGUACUAGGUGUGGGGUCCAUUCCACGGGUUCCGUGCCGUAGCUAACGCUUUAAGUACCCCGCCUGGGGAGUACGGCCGCAAGGCUAAAACUCAAAGGAAUUGACGGGGCCCCGCACAAGCGGCGGAGCAUGCGGAUUAAUUCGAUGCAACGCGUAGAACCUUACCUGGGUUUGACAUGGAUCGGGAGUGCUCAGAGAUGGGUGUGCCUCUUUUGGGGUCGGUUCACAGGUGGUGCAUGGCUGUCGUCAGCUCGUGUCGCGAGAUGUUGGGUUAAGUCCCGCAACGAGCGCAACCCUUGUUCACUGUUGCCAGCACGUUAUGGUGGGGACUCAGUGGAGACCGCCGGGGUCAACUCGGAGGAAGGUGGGGAUGACGUCAAGUCAUCAUGCCCCUUAUGUCCAGGGCUUCACGCAUGCUACAAUGGCUGGUACAGAGAGUGGCGAGCCUGUGAGGGUGAGCGAAUCUCGGAAAGUCGGUCUCAGUUCGGAUUGGGGUCUGCAACUCGACCUCAUGAAGUCGGAGUCGCUAGUAAUCGCAGAUCAGCAACGCUGCGGUGAAUACGUUCCCGGG
rnacentral:rRNA from 1 species